GCUGACCAACACACACAUACACAGCGUUCUCUACCUGCCUCCGGUCUGUCUUCUUAAAAGGCCCUACCUGGUUCCCAGUGCCUUCCCCUUCUCUGAACUCAAAAUACUUCUGGAUGCAGACAUUUCACUUAGAAGUUUUGUGCUAUUCGCCUGGGAUCAUACAGCAUACUUUGAUAAGUACUAAAGUACAAAACAUUAUGGUUUGAAGAUUUAACAGUGGAAUUUCUUGCAACUGCCAGGAGGGAAAUGAGGUAAGCUUUGAAGCCUAUUAUCGUUGGUAUUUGCUUUAAGACAUAUCUCAUCCCGGUCUCUUGGUCUUUAAUAGGUAUUGUCCAAGUGACCAUAUAUAAUAGUUAUCUAAACUGGUACAACUUUCAAAGCGGAGGUGAAUAUAUUAAUAAUUGUAUUUUGACAAUACGCAUAGAGCAGGACUAUCCCAGUAGAGUGUGUGGGUCACUCUAGGCAUAUGGAUUAUCCUAAUGUGCUGUUAGUCCUGAGCUAAAUCCCUGGUUGAACUGAUCCAUCUAAUGGGCUCAAAGCUGCUGCUGGGUGAGAAAUCUCACAGUUGUACUGACUGAAACAGCUAAGGGACAUGUAGCAGUCACUUUGUAACAUAUGGCUUGACAAUCCUUUUCCUGAAGUAGCUCUAAGCAUGGUGGUAGUUAUAUCUCAGUGACAGUAGCAGGUGAGAGAGGCACUUAAGCAGUAGUUCUGUCGCUCAGUAAAAGUUUUGGCACCUGGAUUUGAACAUGAAGGAUGCUAACUGGGAAGCUGAAAGAUUUCCAGAUCAGCCGAAUUGCUCAAAGCUGCCAAGUUGGCCUGAGAACCUUCCUUUGUGAGUGAGAUAUAGAUGAUAGUUGAAACGACUCCUUAGCUGGAAAAUGCAAUUUAAGCAUAUGUUUAAAAAAGCAGUAAUUAAAAUAUAACUUUUUCAGAGCUCUUUGGUGCUCCUGAAUCCAUGGCUGUGCCAAGUGCUUAGCUAUGCAGAGGGUGAUUACCUUUCGAGGCCAGGAUAGUGGCUCCCAAUCACUGCAGUGUAACUCUCGGGCUUGGCAUGAGCUUAGGAGGUGAAAGAAGAGGACUUACACAUUAGCAGUAAAGGUGAACGUUUCUAACACCUAGAAAGUGUUGAAAUUCUGGUUGGCAUGCUUAUCUUGUUUU